rnacentral:rRNA from 1 species
ACCCGAAGCCGGUGCGCUAACCCAGCAAUGGGAGGCAGCCGACCACGGUCAGGUCAGCGACUGGGGUGAAGUCGUAACAAGGUAGCUGUAGGUGAACCUGCAGAAGGAUCA